AGGAGGCUUUGCAUCAUCAGCUGAUCCUCCAGUGAACUCACAAGGUUUAUAGUGGUGUGAGUUCAACACUGCAGGACUCACAUGUGUCAGUCAACACAGCAGGAAGCACAAGCAGCAUGACUCUCAUCACCAUCCUCAUCUGGACGCUGCUCUGCUGCUGCUUUACAGGAUGCAGUGGUCAGGUGACGGUGACUCAGCCUCCAGUGGAGACGUUCACUGCAGGAUCCACUGUGACGCUCACCUGUAAAACCAACACAGCUGUCGAUGGAGUUAGCGGUGUGUUUGAGUAUAUGUCCUGGUACCAACAGAAACCUGGACAGAGCCCAAAGCUCCUGAUCUAUUAUGUAGAUAAUCUAGAGUCAGGGACACCAGAUCGGUUUAGUGGCAGUGGAAGCGGCUCUGACUUCUCCAUGUCCAUCACUGGUGUUCAGGCUGAAGAUGCUGCAGUUUAUUACUGUCAGAGUUACCAUAGUGGUGGAGUGUUCACACAGUGAUUUACGGCCGUACAAAAACCUCCUCAGUCAGAGACACUGAGCUGUUACAGCAGGAACCAACUGCAGCUGCUGAAGAGGAACAAACUCUGACACAAACGCUGAACUCAGACCUUAAACUCAUAACACUGAUACAUGUCUGUUAAUUACGUCUUUUGAAAUUCUUAUGAAAUAAAAUUAUUAAUAAACGACACCAGUUUAACCUAUAAAAAAUAUAAAAAUUUUCUUUUUCAAAUAUUUAGAAUGACCACAUUUGUUGUUCAUGUUGACUUAUAGAGGUUUAAUCAGUGUUAUCAACCAAAAGCAUCACAGCUACAAAUCACAUCCACAUCAAUCUGUUGAGGCUUUGUGCUGUUUUGAAGUUUUUGCUCAGAGCAGCAGGUCUGUUCCUCUUCUCCACACAGACAGACUUCAUUUAAUAAACGGCUGUUGGUAAAAUAGCAGUGCUCCAGUCGAGCUAAAAGGAUUUCAUGAUCCACUGUGUCAAAUAAUGCAGUCUAAGAGCAUCAUCAGAACUGAGUCCCCAGCAUCCAGUGCCAACGAGAUAUCAUUACUAAGUUUUCUUAAUACGGACUCUGUGUUGUGUCACGACUUUAAUCCAGAUUGAUGUUUAUCUUCAAUUUCAUUAUGUCACAAAAAUGACUGGAGUUGAAAAAAACA